GGGUUGUUAGCUCAGUUGGUAGAGCAGCUGACUCUUAAUCAGCGGGUCAUAGGUUCGAGUCCUAUACAACCCA
rnacentral:tRNA from 1 species